UACGAAGGGGGCUAGCGUUGUUCGGAUUUACUGGGCGUAAAGCGCACGUAGGCGGUUUGUUAAGUCAGGGGUGAAAUCCCAGAGCUCAACUCUGGAACUGCCUUUGAUACUGUCGGUCUAGAGUAUGGAAGAGGUGAGUGGAAUUCCGAGUGUAGAGGUGAAAUUCGUAGAUAUUCGGAGGAACACCAGUGGCGAAGGCGGCUCACUGGUCCAUUACUGACGCUGAGGUGGCGAAAGCGUGGGGAGCAAAC
rnacentral:rRNA from 1 species